CGAGGUGGAAGGCUCGGACUGCCAACAUUGAACUGGGCCGUCAAAUAAGCCCAUUCAACUUGCUGUAUCUCCUUUGUGCGGCCAGAGUUUUAUGGACCAACAAAUUAUGGGAGAAUAGAAUGCAAUAAUUAUAAAGGUUGAAUCCCAACCUUGAAGGCUCUCAUCGUCCCGCCCUUAGAGUUUUGUGAGAAAGGUAAAUCGUGGGAUGUGCCCCAACAGACCAGGGAACAAGAGUUGCGUGUACACUGCGCCUACAAAAAGUCAAAUUUCAUGUCUCAGGAAUCGAAUCUUCACACUGCGGCUGUCAGUAAGACGUGAGAUAACAUCACUCCCGUUCUUUAUACCACUAGGCUAUGCCUCGAGUGGCGAAUGCAAUAAUUAUAGAUUGAAUUAAUUAUGGAGUUACAAUUACAUUUUUAUUUUUUAUUUUUUUUUUAUUUUUAUUUUUUAACCUUUACAUUGUUAUUCUUAGCAUUAUAUUAAUUUG
rnacentral:lncRNA from 1 species